CUACGGGGUGCUCCAGUGAGGAAUAUUGCACAAUGGGGGGAACCCUGAUGCAGCAACGCCGCGUGGAGGAUGACGCAUUUCGGUGUGUAAACUCCUUUUAUAUGUCAAGAAAAUGACGGUAGCAUAUGAAUAAGCACCGGCUAACUCCGUGCCAGCAGCCGCGGUAAUACGGAGGGUGCAAGCGUUACUCGGAAUCACUGGGCGUAAAGGACGCGUAGGCGGGCUUGUAAGUCAGGUGUGAAAUCCUACAGCUUAACUGUAGAACUGCACUUGAAACUUCUAAUCUAGAGUAUGGGAGGGGGAGAUGGAAUUAGUGGUGUAGGGGUAAAAUCCGUAGAUAUCACUAGGAAUACCUAAAGCGAAGGCGAUCUCCUGGAACAUUACUGACGCUAAGGCGUGAAAGCGUGGGGAGCAAACAGGAUUAGAUACCCCCGUAGUC
rnacentral:rRNA from 1 species